UUUCCAAGACUGGGGGAAUCUGACCUGCUGUCUGAGUGGAGCUCCUACAGACUCAGAGUGAGGAGUCCUGAUCUGAAGACCAAGUCCCUGGAGGAGGUGCUUCUGUGGCUUGUAUCUCCAGAGUCCGCUGAGCUGUAUCCCACCCUAAGCCUUGCAGCUGCAAUCGCCCUCACAGCCCCUGUCCAGACCGCAGAUGUGGAGGAGGCUGUUCUCUGCACUCAAAAUUGUGAAGACACCUCUGCGCAACAGACUGAAGGAGAGGAAUUUGGAUGUGUGCUGUAAGGUGGCCAUCGAUGGACCAGACCAGGAGGCCUUGGACUACAAGGAGUGCAUGAGGAGGUUCUACAGGAUGAA